rnacentral:tRNA from 1 species
UAUAGUUUAGUAUAUGAUGUACAUAAGUUUUUGAUACUUAAAGUAGUAGUUUAAAGCUAUUAACUGUAA